CAAAAACCUGCAAGGGACAAAUAUUAUACCCACACACAAGUUGGAAAGAAGCAGAUGGAGAUGAGGCAAAUAUCAGUCUCAAAUGCCAACCAAGAGGGCCCUCUCAGUAACUGCGUUGUUAGGUAUAUGCCAUUCAUCGGCAGAUGCUCACUGCUUGUUUGUCAUCAGCCACUCAUAUACUUUGAAUUGAUUGCUAUGUGAAUCAAUGCCAUAAAUGCCUCUAUGCAAGUGACUGUUUGCAGGCUUCGUUACCUUUUCUGCUCGGCACAAGUUUGGAGGUUGAGAAUGCGUUCAUAGAAAAUUAUGGUUUCUGAAUAAAAUGAUGGUCUAUAUCUUUCAGUUGAUUGUAAAUUCUGUUUCCGUCGUCCCAAUAUUCAAAUAUAGUUUCUUUUAGUAAUGUUCUGGUCAUUUAUGGUGCAAUCUUGUUCACAAAGGAAAAUGUAUCUUAAACAGAACACAUCGCAAAACAAAAGCAAACAAAUAAAUAAAUAAAUGUCAUAUACAAUUUCCUACAAUGAGCUGUGUUCCCAGACAUCUUUCCAUAGCAGAAAUCUCAUCAAAGACGAAGUCGAUGGAUUGAUCACUAGGUAAAGAUGCAGAUCAUUUUUAAAUGUAUUUAUCAGUAGCUGGAAACUAAGUGAGUGAUUAUAAAUUAUAUGAGAUGAAUCAGAAAAAGAGUAGCCUAUGCAGGGUUUGGAGUGUCGAUCUAUCUGACUUGCAUUUCACUGAACUUGUGUUUUACAAGAAGGGAAGGGUGGAUAUUUUACAAGCUGCUGACAGAGCUUUCAAACUGAUACACUUUGCAUGAUCAGCAGCUUCACCUCAUCCUAUUUUGGGUUCACGCUUGAACGAGAAAGCUUCAACAGAUAGCAAUUUGCCGGAAAGAUUUAAUUCAAGUCCAACCGAACCAGCAAACUGUUGCACGACAUUUUCUAAUCAUCAGAAAAAAAACUCAAAUAUCCCAUGGAACUGAAUAAACAAGAUCAUUACUAAA